UGGGGGAUAUUGCACAAUGGGGGGAACCCUGAUGCAGCGACGCCGCGUGAGUGAAGACGGCCUUCGGGUUGUAAAGCUCUGUCAAUCGGGACGAAGAAGAUGACGGUACCGAUGAAGGAAGCUCCGGCUAACUACGUGCCAGCAGCCGCGGUAAUACGUAGGGAGCAAGCGUUGUCCGGAAUUACUGGGUGUAAAGGGAGCGUAGGCGGGAAUGCAAGUUGGAAGUGAAAGGUAUGGGCUCAACCCAUGAACUGCUUUCAAAACUGUAUUUCUUGAGUGAAGUAGAGGCAGGCGGAAUUCCUA
rnacentral:rRNA from 1 species